UCUGGAUGUGGCCCAGGCAGAAGGAAACUC
rnacentral:piRNA from 1 species